GAGAUGGUGCUGUGGACUGAGAGCAACAAGGGAGAGAAAAUCCAGAUCACGGUCACGCUGACCAACGAACUGCCUCCAUCCUCUCCCGUAUGCCUGCAGUUCUACAACAUUGUCUUCGAGAGGAUUCUGAAGAUUCUAAACAUGCAGCAGAUCGGCUGUCAUUACUACAACCCCGGGGACCCCUGAACAUCCCUCAGCACAAGUUGUCCAUCUGGCCUGGCUUUGUGACCAGCAUCCUGCAGUACGAGUCCGGCAUCAUGCUGUGUUGACGUGAGCCAUAAGGUUUUGCGCAGCGAGACUGUUCUCGACUUCAUGGGCAAACUGAGACAUCAGUGUGGAGACCAACGCUUUGUUGACAUCUGCACCAAGGAUCCUACAGGGAGCGAGAGCAGUAAGGGGGACCGGGGGACCACAGAACACACAGAGAAAACAGAACUGAUCGAGUACGAUGAUCGACAGGAGGCUCUGCUGAGAGCUCUGCAGCAGAACGUGGAGCAACAGGUUCAGAUGCUGCGCUGAAGGCCUUCUUCAAAUACAACAAAUGUUUGCAGUCACGCAUCGUGGUGUACCGAGACGGCGUGGGCGACGGCAUGCUGCUGCAAGUAGUCGACUACGAAGUGCCUCAGUUCAUGCAGUCCAUCAAGGCCAUGGGCGAAGAUUACGUGUGAGACUCGACACAUCUCGCUAUCUUUUGAUGCCUGGUCCCUGCCAUGCGUCAGCUUUGAAGACAAGGACAGCCCUGGGGGCAUCGCCAAACUCCUUCAACAACCGUGCAGCCUGCUUUGCGCCACACAACCUUUUCCUCCACCGUAGCUCAUGCUUGGAGGUUUAAAAGCUGUGAAGAAGGAGUGAUUAUUUUCUCAGAGGAUAGUACACAGAGUAGUGCUGUUAAGGAUGUCAUUGUCGCCGCCUGCUUUUGUUUCGCUGCAUGGUCCGCUCGGGCGUGACCUAGGGAAACGGUCUAAUUUGUUAGUGUGUGCAUUACAUUUGCAUACUGCAAUAGCUUUACAGGUAGGACUGCGUCCAGCAGCUCAGAGACUAGUUUGGGGUGGGCUAUGUGUGUUCCUGAACUCAUCAGGAAGAUCCCGUGUUUCCAAAUUGUCCCCAAAUCAUGUUCUACCCCAAAGGCAUAUCUACUGUCUAAUAGAUUAAACAAAAAAUGUUUUGUCAUAUCUGUGAUUGUUUAUUUGCUACGGAGUAAAAAAACCCCAAAAAAAACAGGUGA